rnacentral:rRNA from 1 species
UACGGGGGGGGCAAGCGUUGUUCCGAAUUACUGGGCGUAAAGGGCUCGUAGGUGGCCAACUAAGUCAGACGUGAAAUCCCCAGGCUCAACUUGGGAACUGCGUCUGAUACUGGAUGGCUUGAAUUCGGGAGAGGGAUGCAGAAUUCCAGGUGUAGCGGUGAAAUGCGUAGAUAUCUGGAGGAAUACCGGUGGCGAAGGCGGCAUCCUGGACCAUUACUGACGCUGAGGCGCGAAAGCUAGGGGAGCAAACGGG